rnacentral:rRNA from 1 species
GAUGAACGCUGGCGGCAUGCCUAACACAUGCAAGUCGGACGGGAAGUGGUGUUUCCAGUGGCGGCCGGGUGAGUAACGCGUAAGAACCUGCCCUUGGGAGGGGAACAACAGCUGGAAACGGCUGCUAAUACCCCGUAGGCUGAGGAGCAAAAGGUGGAAUCCGCCAGAGGAGGGGCUUGCGUCUGAUUAGCUAGUUGGUGAGGCAAUAGCUUACCAAGGCGAUGAUCAGUAGCUGCUCCGAGAGGAUGAUCGGCCACACUGGGACUGAGACACGCCCCAGAGACCUACGGGCGACGGCAGUGAGGAAGAUUCCGCAAUGGGGGAUAGCGUGAGAAGGCAAUGCGGCGUGAAAGUAGUAUGGCCACGAGUGGUGAACUGCUUUUCCCGGAGAAGAAGUAAUGACGGUAUCUGGAGAAUAAGCACCGGCUAACUCUGUG